AUGUGUUGUUCUUUUCUACUAAUUAUUGGUGAAGGUCAGGCGAGUACUAAUCUUAUACGUAAUUCUGUUGUGCUUCUCUUGGUUCAUAUAUGCUCAAAUUUGAACUAUUUGACUGAAUUCUGUUUCUUUUUGGUGAAUUAUGUCUACAAAAUUGCAUGUCUACAGUAUGUGAACUCACUAUCAUCUAAUUUCUGGAACAUUGGCAAAAUAUGCAUCAGUUUUCAGAAACACAAUCAUGAGUAUAUCUGUAUGAGCAUGCAUCAUUUCGGUACAAGUUCGAAUAUGGAUGCACUGAAUGUCUCUCUAUGA
rnacentral:rRNA from 1 species